GACAGGAAACGGCCCUGGAUUGGCUCCAAUAUCCCCUGUGAUCCCAUGGAUGCUGCUCUGUUCAACGCCUCCACGGUCAUCUCCAUCGGCAAUGGCGAAACUGCCAGCUUCUGGUCCUCUUGCUGGCUUUAGGGUCAAGCCCCAAAAGACUUAGCUCCGGAUCUGUUCAAGCUUACCCGCAAGAAAUCCAUCACAGUUGUUGCAGGUAUUGCUUAUGACAAAUGGAUAACUGGGUUUCAGCGUAUCUCUUCGGAGGCUCAACUACGUCAGUUCGUUGAUCUGAGGCUGCGUAUUCGUGACGUGCAUCUGUCUAAUGAGGAGGAUUCUAUUACCUGGCGGUGGACUCCAGACUCUGUGUACUCAGCAAAAUCGGCUUACCUGCAAAAGUUCGUUGGCGCGUAUACAUCAAUCAACCUCAAGAAGAUUUGGUUUGCCAAAGUGGAGCCUAAAUGUAGAUUUUUCAUGUGGUUGUGGCUGAAGGAGAGGAUCCUCACAAACGACAACCUGCUCAAGCGCGGACUGCCAAACAACGGCGCCUGCAACCUUUGCGACCAAGACAUCGAGUCCCCCGCCCACCUCCUUCUGCACUGCAUCUUCGCGCGCAAGGUUUGGUUCCUAAUCGCUGAUUGGAUUGCCCAGCCUGCGCUCAUAUUGCCUGUGGCAUCUGGCGACUCUCCGUCGACAUGGUGGCAUGACACGGCUUGCGGCCUGCCUCCUCACCAUCUCGCUGUGGCAAUCUACGGUUGCUGUAACAUAUGGAAGGAACGGAACCGAAGGGUCUUCGACAAUGCAACCUGCAACGCUGACCAGGUGUUCUGCCUUCUCAAGCAGGAGGUGGCUAUUGCUAUUGCCCGCAUCACCUGGAGCGUCUUUGGCGAAAACGAGCCGGAACCUGAGCCAGAUUAG
rnacentral:rRNA from 1 species